rnacentral:tRNA from 1 species
GCCGGGGUGGUGGAAUUGGUAUACACGCAAGACUUAAAAUCUUGUGGCUUCGGCCAUGCGGGUUCGACCCCCGCCCUCGGUA